GACGAACGCUGGCGGCGUGCUUAACACAUGCAGGUCGAACGGAAAGGCCCUGCUUUUGUGGGGUGCUCGAGUGGCGAACGGGUGAGUAACACGUGAGUAACCUGCCCUUGACUUUGGGAUAACUUCAGGAAACUGGGGCUAAUACCGGAUAGGAGCUCCUGCUGCAUGGUGGGGGUGGGAAAGUUUCGGCGGUUGGGGAUGGACUCGCGGCUUAUCAGCUUGUUGGUGGGGUAGUGGCUUACCAAGGCUUUGACGGGUAGCCGGCCUGAGAGGGGGACCGGCCACAUUGGGACUGAGAUACGGCCCAGACGCCUACGGGAGGCAGCAGUGGGGAAUAUUGCACAAUGGGAGGAAGCCUGAUGCGGCAACGCCGCGUGCGGGAUGACGGCCUUCGGGUUGUGAACCGCUUUCGCCUGUGACGAAGCGUGAGUGACGGUAAUGGGUAAAGAAGCACCGGCUAACUACGUG
rnacentral:rRNA from 1 species